rnacentral:rRNA from 1 species
UAGGGAAUAUUAGUAAUGUGCGAAAGCGCGAACCAGCAACGCCGCGUGCACGAUGAAGGCCUUCGGGUUGUAAAGUGCUUUUUAGAGGGACGAGGAAGGACAGUACUUCUAGAAUAAGCCUCGGCUAACUACGUGCCAGCAGCCGCUGUAAAACGUAGGAGGCAAGCGUUAUCCGGAUUUACUGGGCGUAAAGCGCGUGUAGGCGGUUUCGUAAGUUGGAUGUGAAAGCUCCUAGCUUAACUGGGAGAGGUCGUUCAAGACUGCGAGACACGAGAGUGGUAGAGGAAGGUGGAAUUCCGGGUGUAGUGGUGAAAUGCGUAGAUAUCCGGAGGAACACCAGUGGCGAAAGCGGCCUUCUGGACCAUUUCUGACGCUCAGACGCGAAAGCUAAGGUAGCAAACG